UAGGUGUGAUUGAGACUACAGUAGGUGUGAGUUAGACAACACUAGGUGUGAGACAACACUAGGUGUGAGUGAGACUACAGUAGGUGUGAGUGAGACUACAGUAUGUGUGAGUGAGACUAAAGUAGGUGUGAGUGAGACUACACUAGGUGUUAGUGAGACUACAGUAUGUGUGUGAGUGAGACUACAGUAGGUGUGAGUGAGACUACAGUAUGUGUGUGAGUGAGACUACAGUAGGUGUGAGUGAGACUACAGUAGGUGUGUGAGUGAGACUACAGUAUGUGUGUGAGUGAGACUACAGUAGGUGUGAGUGAGACUACAGUAUGUGUGAGUGAGACUACAGUGUGUGUGAGUGAGACUACAGUAGGUGUGAGUGAGACUACCAUAUGUGUGUGAGUGAGACUACAGUAGGUGUGAGUGAGACUACAGUAGGUGUGAGUGAGACUACAGUAGGUGUGAGUAGGACUACAGUAGGUGUGAGUGAGACUACCGUAUGUGUGUGAGUGAGAUAUGCCUUUCUGCCCUUGAGCAAAGCAGUAACCAGCAACAACAACUCCUCCCCGGCAACAACGUGUAUUAAGGCACCUCCCUGAUUCAGAGGGGUUGUGUUAAAUGCAGAAGACACAUAUUGGUUGAAUGCGUUCGGUUGAUUCCAGCACUCAAUAUUCAUUAGCCUGUACAAACAUUAUAGGUUUAAAUGCAUUUGUGAAUGUACUGUAGCUCUUAUUAGAGUAGGGUUCAAUCCAACCCUAUCUUUGACUCUAUGGUAUAAUAUAUAUAGAUAUAUACUGUAUAUAUAUAUUGCAUGGCUGUGUAAAAUAUAUACAGUAUAUUCAUGCUUAUUACCCACCUGUGCUGGGCCAAUCAAACAAAAAAACAUCACUCUGCAAAUGGAGGGUGACAUUAUUGUCAAGCAAAAGAGCCCAGAUCUGUGCAAAAAAUACCAUAAAACAAUCUCUGCAUCAUGAUUUUUUAAAGUAAGUCAACUGCAUGUGAUGCAUUUGUGAGUGGCAGUAUUUGGAACACACACUGAAUAAUGUGCCUUCCUGUCUAUUUGAAAUGUUAGCCAUCAAACAGGCAGUGUCAAUACAGGGCUAAAAUCGAAUCACACUACACCGGCUCGGACGCUUGACAGAUGUGGCAGGGUUUGCAAACUAUCACGGAUUACAAAAGGGAAACCCAGCCGUGAGAUGCCCAGCGACGCGAUCCUACCAGAAGAGCUAAAUGUCUUCAAUGCUCGCAAGCAACACUGAACCAUGCAUAUGAGAGCACCAGUUGUUCCGAAAGACUGUGUGAUCUUGCUCUUAAUAGCCAAUGUAAGUAAGACCUUUAAACAGGUUAACAUUCACAAAGCAACGGGGACAGACGAAAUACCAGGAUGCAUACUCAGAGCAUGCUCUGACCAGCUUGCAAGUGUCUUCACUGACAUUUUACAUUUUCAAGUUUUAAUGUCAUGUGCACAAGUACAGUGAAUGCUUUUCUUGCAAGCUCUAAACCCAACAAUCCAGUAAAAAUAACUAAAAAUAAGAAAUCCCCUAUCCUUGACCCGGUCUGUAAUACCAACUUGUUUCAAGCAGACUACCAAAUCAAAUCAAAUCAAAUGUAUUUAUAUAGCCCUUCGUACAUCAGCUGAUAUCUCAAAGCGCUGUACAGAAACCCAGCCUAAAACCCCAAACAGCAAGCAAUGCAGGUGUAGAAGCACGGACCACCAUAGUCCCCGUGCCCAAGAAUGCCAAAGUAACCUGCCUAAAUUACUAUCGCCCCGUCGUUCUCACAUCUAUAGCUUUGAAAGGCUGGUCAUGGCUCACAUCAACACCAUCACCCCAGACACCCUGGACCCACUCCAAUUUGCAUACCGCCCCAACAGAUCCACAGAUGACGCAAUCUUUAUUGCACUCCACACUGCCCUCACCCACCUGGACAAAAGGAAUAUCUUUGUAAGAAUUAUGUUCAUUGACUACAGCUCAGCGUUCAACGCCAUAGUCCCCUCCAAGCUCAUCACCAAGCUCAGGACAAUGGGGCUGAACACCUCCCUCUGCAACUGGAUCCUGGACUUCAAAUAUGCCUACCGGUAGCCAGUGAUAUAAUGUUCCAAAACAUAGGUGGGUUAACUCUGAUUGGCGGUAAUGGUGUAAAAAAGUAACUCUCCCCAUGCUUUCAGUGUCGGGGGCCUACACCCCUGCCGGUAGCCUACCCUCUCAACCAAGGCCAUUUUAAACACAGGAACACACGCAGAAUAGGUAGUCUACAUUGAAUAUAAUACAUGAGUUCAAUUAAAUCAUGUUUUACACCCUAGUUCAUGAGUCCAUAUUUAAUGAGUUAAAUGCUUGGAGUCUUCACAGAUCGUGUGACAUAAAACACAACCAUUCUUUCUUUACAUUAAUGCCAUUUAUGACAGUGUUAUUUGUCAUUACUCUCAGGAAUCAAGGUAAGACCCAAGUGCAGACUAUGUGAAGUAACAAUGUUUAUUGUAACCACCGGGUCAGGCAAAUGACAGGUCAAGGCAGGCAGGGGUCGACAAUCCAGAGUAGGAGCAAAGGUACAGGACGGCAGGCAGGUACAGGGUCAGGACAGGCAAGGGUCAAAAACCAGGAGGACGAGAGAAAGCGAGGCUGGGAAAAGACAGGAGCUGACAGGACGACCGCUGGUAAGCUUGACAAACAAGACCAACUGACAACAGACAGACAGAAAACACAGGUAUAAGUACACAGGGGAUAAUGGGGAAGAUGGGCGACACCUGGAGGUGUGUAUAAGUACACAGGGGAUAAUGGGGAAGCUGGGCGACACCUGGAGGUGUGUAUAAGUACACAGGGGAUAAUGGGGAAGCUGGGCGACACCUGGAGGUGUGUAUAAGUACACAGGGGAUAAUGGGG
ensembl:lncRNA